AGUGAACGCUGGCGGUAGGCCUAACACAUGCAAGUCGAACGGCAGCACAGGAGAGCUUGCUCUCUGGGUGGCGAGUGGCGGACGGGUGAGGAAUACAUCGGAAUCUACCUUUUCGUGGGGGAUAACGUAGGGAACUUACGCUAAUACCGCAUACGACCUACGGGUGAAAGGUGGGGGACCGGCAAGGCCUCACGCGAUUA
rnacentral:rRNA from 1 species